rnacentral:tRNA from 2 species
GCGAGGUCUCUGGUUCAAGUCCAGGAUGGCCCAGGGCUAUAGCUCAGUUAGGUAGAGCACCUCGUUUACA